rnacentral:lncRNA from 1 species
AAUCAUAAACUGUCAGAAGAUUUUUAACGGACAUGAAGGGGUAAGAUUCUGCUAGAAGUUUGAAAGCAGAUGUUCUGUUUGCUGUGAACACCAUACCGUAAUCAUUUUCUGAAAUAUUCAAAAAGUCCAUGAUCCUUUUCUUCAUUGCGGAUUCCAAUCCUGAUUCUUGCCCUCCAUGAAGCAGCUGUGUCUUCAGAUUCCCUGUCUUGUAUGACACACUAAAGAAAGGAAUAUCCAAAUUUUGAGAAGGCAAUGAAGGCCGUAAAUGAGAAGGAGAAGAUUCCUGUUUAUGCAACUGGUUAUAGGAAAACAAACCAAUACCGAAAUAAUCAAGGCAGGUAUGAUUGGAGAGCGAGAGCUGAUAGUACUCUUUUGCUCGUAUUUGGUCAAUUUGAUAUGUAUCAAAGUACUGAGGGUAGGCUUUUGUGAAUUCAGUUAAAGAUUGUUGCAAAGAUGGGAGAGACUCAUGGUUGGUGAAUUGAGUGUCUGGGAAGAUGGAGGAAGCAGUUACUGCUGCAAAGUCGCGGCGACAAUCCGCAGAAGUGUUUCUGGACUUGGAGACUUUGUGGAGGGGAUCAGGUGAUAAGCUGAAGAAAGGAGACGGACAGCAGCCACCGUGGGUGCAUAGACAUGCUUGUGAGACCUCUCUCAAGCAAGGUGACUGCAUUUUCUCUCUUUCUUUCUUCUUGUUUCUUUCAAUCAAAUUUCAUCGCUUAUAUGGAGCAUUAUUAUUAUUAUUAUUUUGUCUUUAUUGGCUUAGACAACAGCAUCUGUUUUACUUUGCCUUGAUUGCUUUCAUACUUGCUGGUUG